rnacentral:rRNA from 1 species
UACAGAGGGUGCGACCGUUGCUCGGAAUUACUGGGCGUAAAGCGCGUGUAGGCGGGUCGGCAAGUCAGGCGUGAAAUCCCCAGGCUCAACCUGGGAACUGCGCUUGAAACUGCCGGUCUUGAGUAUCGGAGAGGGUGGCGGAAUUCCUGGUGUAGAGGUGAAAUUCGUAGAUAUCAGGAGGAACACCGGUGGCGAAGGCGGCCACCUGGACGAUUACUGACGCUGAGACGCGAAAGCGUGGGGAGCAAACAGG